rnacentral:lncRNA from 1 species
GACCUCCUGCCGGCUAGGAAUACUGCUUCCUCUGACCACUGCUCAUGGAGCAAAGCUGCUGAUUUAUUUUCUUGGGGAAAUAAAAAUAAAUACUGGCUUUUGUACUCUCAUCCCCAGUCCCAUCUGGAAAAAGCAGGCUCAUGGAGCUUGGCUGUCUGAACGCCGAGGGCUGUGUCUGCAGGAAUCUGGAGUCACGACGUUCCCUCCAACAUCGGAAUGGGCACGGCCAACGUUUCCUUUCCUGUUACAUGGCUCCUUGGAAUGUCCACCCCGGGAGGCAGUCCGUGGGCAGGCGGAAUGCAGUGGGAAGAAGCUCUGCCCAGGCCACGGGCCAGCUCGGCUUCUGACUGCUGUGUGACUGGGAGCACCGCUGUGUUCCUCUCUGGGCCUUGAUUUCCCUGCCUGCAGAGUGGGGGAGCGGCAGUUCUCAAUCUGGCUUCCCUGGACCACCCGCAUCAGAUCCACUGAAGCAAAGUGUUCAAAAUGCACACUCCUGGUUCUUCUCUCAGACCUCCUGAAGUUUUUAUGAACUUCCAAGGGACUUGAUGUGGACAACUUUUAGGACCCACAGUGCCCAGGACUCUGAAGUCCCCUCCUUCCAGAUGUCCACUUUUGAACACCUUAUGGUCCUGCAGAUUCUCCCCCCGGCACCACCACCAUAACCGAGUGUGAGGGUCUCGCCUGAGGCGAGAGGGUGGAAUUACGUGGUGGGAGAGAAACUGUCUGCUUUCCAGCUCUUGUCAGGGUCCCGAGGUCCUCGAUCCAACUGAAGUCACUGUUAAAGCACUUAUUUCUCCGCUGGUGAAAUUCUAGCUGCUAGUUACAGAGUUUGGUCUCGAAAUUGUGCCAUUUAUUAUUUUUGUUGGAUCGGCUUGUAAACCGGUGCACAGUCAAACAUCAUUUAUAGCUCAUUAUUCCACAGAAUGCAUUUUCCAGAUGAGGUCGGGUCCUGCUAAAAACGUGAAGCCCUUCCUUUGUAAAGAUGGAAGUCUUUCCCAAUGGGUCACCUAUUUCUGCCAUCCUAAGUGAAGUUCAGGGAGCAGAUUUCACUGGUUUUCGUUGCCCCAGGUUGUUGUUGUGAGCUCCAACGUUGUGUGCAUUGCUGAUUUUGAGGACUCCUCAACAGUGUGGUCACUACAGCUGGGCACUGAAUGUCCCCCAAGCUGCUAAGUCCUUGUGUCUGUUUUUCAAAGCUUUGCUGUUAUUUUUAUAUUUUUAAAAAUCUUUCUUAUUUAAAAGGAAUCUGCAGUUACAUUUCAUCACAUCCUGGCUCCUUUGGGUGGAAAACCAGUAUCCCACACGUGUUAGAUUUGUCUGCAUUAGAAGAGAUGACAAAUGGGAAGAGUCUCAGAUGAGUCAGGGCAAGGACUUUUGAA